rnacentral:rRNA from 1 species
GAUGAACGCUAGCGGCAGGCUUAACACAUGCAAGUCGAGGGGUAACAUGGGUAGCAAUACCUGAUGACGACCGGCAAACGGGUGCGGAACACGUACAGAACCUACCUUGAUCUGGGGCAUAGCCCGAAGAAAUUCGGAUUAACUCCCCAUAAUAUGAUUGGAUGGCAUCAUUUGAUUAUUAAAAUUUAUUGGAUCGAGAUGGCUGUGCGUCCCAUUAGCUAGUGGUAGGGUAACGGCCUACCAAGGCGACGAUGGGUAGCUGGUGUGAGAGCACGACCAGCCACACGGGCACUGAGACACGGGCCCGACUCCUACGGGAGGCAGCAGUGAGGAAUAUUGGUCAAUGGACGCAAGUCUGAACCAGCCAUGCCGCGUGAA